CUCUAAUUUCCUCAUCAUCCAUUUCUCUCUUCAAAAAAUGGCAGCCCUUAUCACUAAAAAAAACCUACUAACCCUUCUUCUAUUGGGACUCCUAGCUGGGUCCUUGCCAAGUUACACAAAGGCACAAAAUUGUGGUUGUGCUUCAGACCAAUGUUGUAGCCAAUGGGGCUAUUGUGGCACUGGCGAUGACUAUUGUGGCACAGGGUGUCAACAAGGUCCUUGCAAUGCUUCACCACCACCUAAUGAUGUUUCAGUGGCUGAUAUUGUGACACAAGAAUUCUUCAAUGGGAUAAUUGAUCAGGCUGAUGCUAGUUGUGCUGGAAAGAACUUCUAUACCCGAGCAGCUUUUCUUGAAGCUCUCACUGCAUUUGAUAACUUUGGUAGGAUUGGAUCGGUUGAUGAUUCUAAACGUGAGAUUGCAGCUUUCUUUGGCAAUGUUGCACAUGAAACUGGACUUUUUUGCUUCAUAGAGGAGAUAGAUGGUGCCUCUAAGGACUACUGUGAUGAGACCAACACACAAUAUCCAUGAACCCCAACAAGGGUUACUAUGGUCGUGGACCAAUCCAACUAUCAUGGAAUUUCAAUUACGGACCAGCAGGAAACAGCAUUGGGUUCGAUGGAUUGAACUCUCCUGAAACCGUUGCAAAUGAUCCAGUUAUUGCGUUUAAGACUGGCUUGUGGUAUUGGAUGAGGUCUGUUAGGCCAGUCGUAAGUCAAGGGUUCGGAGCAACGAUUCGAGCCAUUAAUGGUGCCCUUGAAUGUGAUGGUGGAAACCCUGCAACAGUUCAAAAACGUGUUGAGUAUUACACAGAAUAUUGUAACCAACUUGGUGUUUCUCCUGGUGAUAAUCUCACAUGCUAGUUUAAUACAGUUGACUAGCAUUUUUUUUUCCUUUUCAAAAUAACCCUGUUUUGAUUUGCUCAUAUAGUUCUUGAUGUUUCUAUGAAUCAUUGUUUGGAUUUGAAUAAUUUGAUGUAUGGCCUAACAGGAAAUAAAAAGUACAAAUUAAGUAUAAAUGUUCCAAAUU